CCUACGGGCGGCAGCAGUGAGGAAUAUUGGUCAAUGGGCGUAAGCCUGAACCAGCCAAGUCGCGUGAGGGAUGAAGGUACUAUGGAUCGUAAACCUCUUUUAUAAGGGAAUAAAGUGUGGGACGUGUCCCGUUUUGUAUGUACCUUAUGAAUAAGGAUCGGCUAACUCCGUGCCAGCAGCCGCGGUAAUACGGAGGAUCCGAGCGUUAUCCGGAUUUAUUGGGUUUAAAGGGUGCGUAGGCGGUCUUUUAAGUCAGCGGUGAAAGUCUGUGGCUCAACCAUAGGAUUGCCGUUGAAACUGGUAGUCUGGAGUAGGUUUGAGGUAGGCGGAAUGCGUGGUGUAGCGGUGAAAUGCUUAGAUAUCGCGCAGAACUCCGAUUGCGAAGGCAGCCUGCCAAGUCAUGACUGACGCUGAUGCACGAAAGCGUGGGGAUCGAACAGGAUUAGAUACCCCAGUAGUC
rnacentral:rRNA from 1 species